UACGUAGGGUGCGAGCGUUGUCCGGAAUUAUUGGGCGUAAAGGGCUCGUAGGCGGUUUGUCGCGUCGGGAGUGAAAACCAGGUGCUUAACACCUGGCUUGCUUUCGAUACGGGCAGACUAGAGGUAUGCAGGGGAGAACGGAAUUCCUGGUGUAGCGGUGAAAUGCGCAGAUAUCAGGAGGAACACCGGUGGCGAAGGCGGUUCUCUGGGCAGUAACUGACGCUGAGGAGCGAAAGCGUGGGGAGCGAACAGG
rnacentral:rRNA from 1 species